AUUGAACGCUGGCGGCAUGCUUUACACAUGCAAGUCGAACGGUAACAGGGUGCUUGCACCGCUGACGAGUGGCGAACGGGUGAGUAAUGCAUCGGAACGUACCCAGUCGUGGGGGAUAACGUAGCGAAAGUUACGCUAAUACCGCAUACGUCCUGAGGGAGAAAGCGGGGGACCGUAAGGCCUCGCGCGAUUGGAGCGGCCGAUGUCGGAUUAGCUAGUUGGUAGGGUAAAGGCUCACCAAGCCGACGAUCUGUAGCUGGUCUGAGAGGACGACCAGCCACACUGGGACUGAGACACGGCCCAGACUCCUACGGGAGGCAGCAGUGGGGAAUUUUGGACAAUGGGCGCAAGCCUGAUCCAGCCAUUCCGCGUGCAGGAUGAAGGCCCUCGGGUUGUAAACUGCUUUUGUACGGAACGAAACGGUCCUGGUUAAUACCUGGGGCUAAUGACGGUACCGUAAGAAUAAGCACCGGCUAACUACGUGCCAGCAGCCGC
rnacentral:rRNA from 1 species